rnacentral:rRNA from 1 species
AUAACCUACCUAUAAGACUGGGAUAACUUCGGGAAACCGGAGCUAAUACCGGAUAAUAUAUUGAACCGCAUUGUUCAAUAGUGAAAGACGGUUUUGCUGUCACUUAUAGAUGGAUCCGCGCUGCAUUAGCUAGUUGGUAAGGUAACGGCUUACCAAGGCAACGAUGCGUAGCCGACCUGAGAGGGUGAUCGGCCACACUGGAACUGAGACACGGUCCAGACUCCUACGGGAGGCAGCAGGG